AGAAAAAAAAAGUUGGAAACUUGUUUGUUUUUCUUGUUUUCAGAAUGUUGUUUCUUUGGAUUAUUGGGUUGUUUUGUUUUCUUGGGUUGGGAUUGUUUGGAAUUUU
rnacentral:ribozyme from 13 species